GCUUGCUUGUCAGAACAUAUACUAAAAUUAUAAUGAUACAGAGAAGAUUGGCACCAUCCCUGUGAAAGGAGGACACAAAUAUUUGUGGAAUGUUCUAAAUUUUU